rfam:Myotis brandtii contig267520, whole genome shotgun sequence.
GGCGGUUCUCAGGUGAUGCUCCCCGGAAUCAGGCUCUUUCCUCUCUGAUUCCAGGUACAUCACCCAAGAACUGCA